rnacentral:misc_RNA from 1 species
GAUGAAGAACGUAGCGAAAUGCGAUACGUAAUGUGAAUUGCAGAAUUCAGUGAAUCAUCGAAUCUUUGAACGCAUAUUGCGCUCUCUGGUAUUCCGGAGAGCAUGCUUGUUUGAGUAUCAGUAAACACCUCAACUCCCUUUUCUUUUUUGAAAUUGGAGCUGGACUUGAGUGAUCCCAACGCUUUCUUCCAAGAAAGUGGCGGGUUGCUUGAAAUGCAGGUGCAGCUGAACUUUUCUCUGAGCUAUAAGCAUAUCUAUUUAGUCUGCCUAAAAAACAGAUUAUUACCUCUGCUGCAGCUAACAUAAAGGAGACUAGUUCUUGUGCUGACUGAUGCAGGAUUCACAGAGACAGCUUCGGCUGACUUUGUAAACUCGAUCUCAAAUCAAGUAAGACUACCCGCUGAACUUAAGCAUAUCAAUAAGCGGAGGA